rnacentral:snRNA from 1 species
GUUGAUUCGCACAAUUGGU